CCUGACCCUAGAGACAAUGCAGGUAUAACUUCUGUCUGAGUGUCUGAGUAGGGGGCACGGAGGAGACAGUCUGUGUUUGUACUCAGUAUUCUGAUCUGUGAAUAUCUAAAUGACUAGUAGACUAACAGU
ensembl:snoRNA Gm24124 small nucleolar RNA SNORA17